CGAGGGGUAUAGUUCUUCGGAAUUAGAGACCGGCGCACGGGUGCGUAACGCGUAUGCAAUCUACCUUUCACAGAGGGAUAGCCCAGAGAAAUUUGGAUUAAUACCUCAUAGUAUAGCAGUUUCGCAUGAAACCACUAUUAAAGAUUUAUCGGUGAAAGAUGAGCAUGCGUCCCAUUAGUUAGUUGGUAAGGUAACGGCUUACCAAGACAACGAUGGGUAGGGGUCCUGAGAGGGAGAUCCCCCACACUGGUACUGAGACACGGACCAGACUCCUACGGGAGGCAGCAGUGAGGAAUAUUGGACAAUGGGCGCAAGCCUGAUCCAGCCAUGCCGCGUGCAGGAUGACGGUCCUAUGGAUUGUAAACUGCUUUUAUACGAGAAGAAACACUCCGACGUGUCGGAGCUUGACGGUAUCGUAAGAAUAAGGAUCGGCUAACUCCGUGCCAGCAGCCGCGGUAAUACGGAGGAUCCAAGCGUUAUCCGGAAUCAUUGGGUUUAAAGGGUCCGUAGGCGGUCAGGUAAGUCAGUGGUGAAAGCCCAUCGCUCAACGGUGGAACGGCCAUUGAUACUGUCUGACUUGAAUUAUUAGGAAGUAACUAGAAUAUGUAGUGUAGCGGUGA
rnacentral:rRNA from 1 species